rnacentral:rRNA from 1 species
GUGGGGAAUAUUGGACAAUGGGCGCAAGCCUGAUCCAGCCAUGCCGCGUGAGUGAUGAAGGCCUUAGGGUUGUAAAGCUCUUUCACCGAUGAAGAUAAUGACGGUAGUCGGAGAAGAAGCCCCGGCUAACUUCGUGCCAGCAGCCGCGGUAAUACGAAGGGGGCUAGCGUUGUUCGGAUUUACUGGGCGUAAAGCGCACGUAGGCGGUUUGUUAAGUCAGAGGUGAAAUACCGGAGCUCAACUCCGGAACUGCCUUUGAUACUGGCAAGCUAGAGUCCGGAAGAGGUAAGUGGAACUCCUAGUGUAGAGGUGGAAUUCGUAGAUAUUAGGAAGAACACCAGUGGCGAAGGCGGCUUACUGGUCCGGAACUGACGCUGAGGUGCGAAAGCGUGGGGAGCAAACAGGAUUAGAUACCCGGGUAGUCC